rnacentral:rRNA from 1 species
UACGGAGGGUGCAAGCGUUAUCCGGAUUCACUGGGUUUAAAGGGUGCGUAGGUGGGUUGGUAAGUCAGUGGUGAAAUCCCCGAGCUUAACUUGGGAACUGCCAUUGAUACUAUCAGUCUUGAAUACUGUGGAGGUCAGCGGAAUAUGUCAUGUAGCGGUGAAAUGCUUAGAUAUGACAUAGAACACCAAUUGCGAAGGCAGCUCACUACGCGAAUAUUGACACUGAGGCACGAAAGCGUGGGGAUCAAACAGG